rnacentral:rRNA from 1 species
AACGAACGCUGGCGGCAGGCUUAGCACAUGCAAGUCGAGCGCCCCGCAAGGGGAGCGGCAGACGGGUGAGUAACGCGUGGGAAUCUACCCAUCUCUACGGAAUAACGCAUGGAAACGUGUGCUAAUACCGUAUACGUCCUUCGGGAGAAAGAUUUAUCGGAGAUGGAUGAGCCCGCGUUGGAUUAGCCAGUUGGUGGGGUAAAGGCCUACCAAGGCGACGAUCCAUAGCUGGUCUGAGAGGAUGAUCAGCCACACUGGGACUGAGACACGGCCCAGACUCCUACGGGAGGCAGCAGUGGGGAAUAUUGGACAAUGGGCGCAAGCCUGAUCCAGCCAUGCCGCGUGAGUGAUGAAGGCCCUAGGGUUGUAAAGCUCUUUCACCGGUGAAGAUAAUGACGGUAACCGGAGAAGAAGCCCCGGCUAACUUCGUGCCGGCCGCCGCCGUAAGAC